AUUGAACGCUGGCGGCAGGCCUAACACAUGCAAGUCGAACGAGUGGCGGACGGGUGAGUAAUGUCUGGGAAACUGCCUGAUGGAGGGGGAUAACUACUGGAAACGGUAGCUAUACCGCAUACCAUCGGAUGGCCCAGGAGGGGAUUAUCUAGUAGGGGGGGUAAAGGCUAACCUAGGCGACGAUCCCUAGCUGGUCUGAGAGGAUGACCAGCCACACUGGAACUGAGACACGGUCCAGCCUCCUACGGGAGGCAGCAGUGGGGAAUAUUGCACAAUGGGCGCAAGCCUGAUGCAGCCAUGCCGCGUGUAUGAAGAAGGCCUUCGGGUUGUAAAGUACUUUCAGCGGGGAGGCGUUACCCGCAGAAGAAGCACCGGCUAACUCCGUGCCAGCAGCCGCGGUAAUAC
rnacentral:rRNA from 1 species